CCAGAUGCCAGGAGGAGCCUCUCCUCCAGACUGAGGAGGGAGUGCCAAAGGAUCCCCAGAGGGCAGAGCCCCAGCCAGGAGCUUCGUCGGAGCCCCGGCCUGGUGCCUUGUUGGGCAGCCCCCUCCCUUGGCUUCAGGAGGCUGAGCAGGAGCUCCAACUCUUCCCUGGUCAGAGAUCUGACGGUGAAACUCAGAGCCAGAGGGAGCUUCCAGAUAGUACUCAGGAAGCCCAAGCCUGGUGGCCAGUGAAUGGGCAAGUGGAAGCCCCGCUAAGGCCAAUGGAUCGCCUCUUCCUCCAAUCAAUAAUCGACAAGGACUGACUUUGCUGGAGAUGUCUUGAGAUAAGGGCUAUCCUCAACCUUUUCCCACCACAAGCUCACUUUCGCCCACAUGCCAGAGACUGCAUCACAUGGUAGAAAUAAUUCAGUAUGAUGCCGCUUGAACUAUCAUGGCUCAAUGCUGGGAGAGUCUGGAAACUGUAGUUGGUGGUGGCACCAGAACACUGAGAUUUUGUAAGGCAAGAACCACAUAACUCCAUUAGUGGUUAUUUAUGCUGUGCUGCAGCCAUGAAUAUCUUGGCAUUCAUUCUGCUUAUGGAUAUCCCAAAAGCGACAGAAUAAUGGACUAGAUAGGUCCCUCAUCUGACAAGGGCAUAUUCAGGUAGUGAGUAUUUACAGGACUAGAAGCCAUAGCCAGAUGAGACAAUUCUCUCAGGAACCUCCAAGAACCAGCAAAUGUUAUCAGGCGGAAAAGAAAUUUACAGAAAGGGGUGCGAGUAGUGGUAUGAAAUGACAGAAUAAUUCUUCUCAUGCCUGAAGAAUGCUGGGCAAUAAAAUUACUGUUCUCCCCACAUGAAAAGUGUGAGAUAAUUACAGGCUUGUCCCUUCCAAGGGACACUGAUCAGCCUUUCCAAUCAGGGGCAGGAAAUUCCUUUUGAACACACAAUUUUGACACUUCAUUGGCAAGGGAGCUUUACCUUCACUAGUGUGUGAAAACUCACACCCUCUUGCACACCUGUGGCUUUAUUUCACUGAUGCUGUAAAAUAAUAACUUUGAGAACGACAAGCUUCAAAAGGAAUUUCCUGCUCCUUUACUUCAUUUGCAAGUGAACCAUGCGAACAUUCUCACACUUAGGCAGUCAUGUGGCACAUUUCUCGGCUUUUACAUAAAACAAAGUGGCUGAAAAUCCACAAUUCGUCUGUUUAGAGGGUCAUGACAAAUUAUUGUCACAUCACUAGAUAGGAGGGAGAUGAAUUGGCUCACUUGAGCCCCUGCAGCUGACUAGGAAAGUAACCAGACUGUUUUUUGGUGAGGGAACAUGAAGCUUUUUAUACAUCAGUCCCACCUCACUAUUGUAUGAGUCCAGAAACAUGGACACCUAUCAAAAAGUAAACAUGUAUAAAAAUGUGCAGAAAGAAAUGAUAAUAUAUAAGGCACCACUGAAGUUCAACUUAUACUGUUUGCUGCUGGGUAUUGGUAAGUAAUAUGAAUGCGACAAAGUAAAUCACUCCAGUGAA